CCUACGGGAGGCAGCAGUGGGGAAUUUUGCGCAAUGGGGGCAACCCUGACGCAGCAACGCCGCGUGAGUGAUGAAGGCCUUCGGGUCGUAAAGCUCUGUCAGAGGGGAAGAAAUGCAGGUGGUGAACAACCAUUCUGUUUGACGGUACCCUCAAAGGAAGCACCGGCUAACUACGUGCCAGCAGCCGCGGUAAUACGUAGGGUGCGAGCGUUAAUCGGAAUUACUGGGCGUAAAGCGUGCGCAGGCGGCUUUGUAAGACGGAUGUAAAAUCCCUGGGCUUAACCUAGGAACUGCGUCCGUGACUGCAAAGCUAGAGUGCGGCAGAGGGGGGUGGAAUUCCUGGUGUAGCAGUAAAAUGCGUAGAUAUCGGGAGGAACACCAGUAGCGAAAGCGGCUCUCUGGGAAAUUCCUGACGCUGAGGGGCGAAAGCGUGGGGAGCAAACAGGAUUAGAUCCCCCUGUAGU
rnacentral:rRNA from 1 species